GGGUUUUAUUUUUACGUUU
rnacentral:miRNA from 1 species